rnacentral:rRNA from 1 species
GACGAACGCUGGCCGCGUGCUUAACACAUGCAAGUCGAACGGAAAGGCCCUGCUUUUGUGGGGUGCUCGAGUGGCGAACGGGUGAGUAACACGUGAGUAACCUGCCCUUGACUUUGGGAUAACUUCAGGAAACUGGGGCUAAUACCGGAUAGGAGCUCCUGCUGCAUGGUGGGGGUUGGAAAGUUUCGGCGGUUGGGGAUGGACUCGCGGCUUAUCAGCUUGUUGGUGGGGUAGUGGCUUACCAAGGCUUUGACGGGUAGCCGGCCUGAGGGGGUGACCGGCCACAUUGGGACUGAGAUACGGCCCAGACUCCUACGGGAGGCAGCAGUGGGGAAUAUUGCACAAUGGGCGGCAGCCUGAUGCAGCAACGCCGCGUGCGGGAUGACGGCCUUCGGGUUGUAAACCGCUUUCGCCUGUGACGAAGCGUGAGUGACGGUAAUGGGUAGAGAAGCACCGGCUAACUACGUG